GAUGAACGCUGGCGGCGUGCUUAACACAUGCAAGUCGAACGAAGCACUUUAUUUGAUUUCCUUCGGGACUGAUUAUUUUGUGACUGAGUGGCGGACGGGUGAGUAACGCGUGGGUAACCUACCUUGUACAGGGGGAUAACAGUUGGAAACGGCUGCUAAUACCGCAUAAGCGCACGGCAUCGCAUGAUGCAGUGUGAAAAACUCCGGUGGUAUGAGAUGGACCCGCGUCUGAUUAGCUAGUUGGUGAGGUAACGGCCCACCAAGGCAACGAUCAGUAGCCGACCUGAGAGGGUGACCGGCCACAUUGGGACUGAGACACGGCCCAGACUCCUACGGGAGGCAGCAGUGGGGGAUAUUGCACAAUGGAGGAAACUCUGAUGCAGCGACGCCGCGUGAGUGAAGAAGUAUUUCGGUAUGUAAAGCUCUAUCAGCAGGGAAGAAAAUGACGG
rnacentral:rRNA from 1 species